rnacentral:misc_RNA from 1 species
UGGCUCAGUUCAGAUCAGUAGGCUGCAACUCGCCUACGUGAAGCAGGAAUCGCUAGUAAUCGCAGGUCAGCAUACUGCGGUGAAUACGUUCCCGGGCCUUGUACACACCGCCCGUCACACCAUGGAAGUUGGCCAUGCCCGAAGUCGUUACUCCAACCCUUGUGGAGGAGGACGCCGAAGGUGGGGCUAAUGACUGGGGUGAAGUCGUAACAAGGUAGCCGUACCGGAAGGUGCGGCUGGAUCACCUCCUAACAGGGAGACAACAAAAUGUUUAAUAUUAUUAUUUUGUCACCUUAGGUCGAUCGGUAUCUCACGUUCUUAAUUUGUUAAGAAUUUCAUUUCCUAAGUUUUUCUAGGUCACACCCAUUAUUUUUCCUGGGCCAUUAGCUCAGGUGGUUAGAGCGCACCCCUGAUAAGGGUGAGGUCCCUGGUUCAAGUCCAGGAUGGCCCAUAUCUCUAUGUUGGGGGUAUAGCUCAGUUGGUAGAGCGCCUGCUUUGCAAGCAGGAUGUCAGCGGUUCGAGUCCGCUUACCUCCACUGAUUACCACCUCUUCCAUAACCGGUAGAAAGGAAAUGUUUUGAGUUGUGAUCAUUAUUCUGAACGAAUCUAGCUUCCUAAUGAAAUCAUUAAGAUGCUGGACUCAUUGAAUUAAUUUCAUUGUUUUCAGAGAACCUUGACAACUGCAUAGAUUUUUUUAAAGACAAUUAGCAUCUUUAAUGAUGCAGAUUUAUUAUUUGUGC